GAUGAACGCUGGCGGCGUGCCUAAUACAUGCAAGUCGAGCGAACAGACGAGGAGCUUGCUCCUCUGACGUUAGCGGCGGACGAGUGAGUAACACGUGGAUAACCUACCUAUAAGACUGGGAUAACUUCGGGAAACCGGAGCUAAUACCGGAUAAUAUAUUGAACCGCAUGGUUCAAUAGUGAAAGACGGUUUUGCUGUCACUUAUAGAUGGAUCCGCGCCGCAUUAGCUAGUUGGUAAGGUAACGGCUUACCAAGGCAACGAUGCGUAGCCGACCUGAGAGGGUGAUCGGCCACACUGGAACUGAGACACGGUCCAGACUCCUACGGGAGGCAGCAGUAGGGAAUCUUCCGCAAUGGGCGAAAGCCUGACGGAGCAACGCCGCGUGAGUGAUGAAGGUCUUCGGAUCGUAAAACUCUGUUAUUAGGGAAGAACAAAUGUGUAAGUAACUAUGCACGUCUUGACGGUACCUAAUCAGAAAGCCACGGCUAACUACGUG
rnacentral:rRNA from 1 species